rnacentral:lncRNA from 10 species
CUAGAAUGGAAAUUUUUAUUUCUUUGCCAAAGGAAGCAAGAACAGUUUGCAGGCAAAAAUAUUAAAAUAAAAAUUGCCUACAUUUUUAAAUUUCUCUUUUAUUUGGAUUCUUACCAGACCAAAGUGAAAUGUGACCUGCAGCUUUGAGAUGUCUCCUAGAAUGAAUAAUCUCCAGGUAUAUUCAAAACCAUUAAUUGCCUCUGAAGGGAGCAAAAUGAGGCUUCCCCAGAAUCCUGUUAUUUGAAGGAGAGAUACUGAGCUCAGUGUUUGCUGCUUCAGUGAGUUCCUAUGGCCAAGCUCUUCCGGCAUAGCCCUCUAGGAAUUCCAGCUGAGAGCCUGCCAGUAGCCUACCAGGGCUCCUCCCCUUCCAGAUGCUGACCUCUCAUCUUUGUCACUUCCACAUCACAGACUGUCAAUAACUCCUAUAUGCUUUGGAGAAGAUGUCUACUAACUACUUGGCCUCCAGCCUCCACAUAACUCGAGAAUUUGACAAGUGUCUUGAAAGAAAAACUGAUGAUGGGUCAGGAUCAGUCUUCCCUGCUCAGUAGAUCCUUACCCCUCAAGUCUUUCCACUACUACAAGACACCAAAAGCUUUCCUGGUUUCUCUAUCUCCUCUACCUAGAGAAUACCAGGUUCUCAGACAUUAGCUCUAGGUCCAAAAUCAAGCCGGUUUUUCUUUUGCAGGGAAAAACUGGCCGAAUAGUGUUAACUCACUAGUCUUCCCCUUUCUGGAAUCUUGGCAUUUCUAGUUUUGGUUGCCCUAGCAGCUCUCCAAUGCCUUUAAACAGAUGUCUUCUGCUUCUAUUAGGCUUGUUCUUGGCUGAGGCCUUGGUCUGCUGGAAAAUACUGCCACAUACGCAGAAGUAGAAGUCUCUUGAGACAUCAUCUUAUUAGUUAUUUAUUGCCAUGUAACAAAUUACAUGGAAACUUAGUGACUUAAAGAAACAAUAAAAAUUUAUUAUCUCACAUUUUCUGUGCAUCAGAAUUCUGUGGGAUAGGAGCAGCAUAGCAGAUGGUUCUGGCAAAGAAUCUCUCAUAAGGUUGUAGCCCAAUGUUGCCUCGGGCUUGAGAAUGAGCUUCCAAAAGAGUUCACCCUCAUGACUGCCAAGCAGGUGCUGGCUAUUGUAAGAAAGUCUGUCCGUUUUCACACAGGCCUGUUACGAGUAUUUUCAUGACAUGGCAGGUGACUUCACCACAAUAAGGGAAGCAAGAACAGGAAAAAUGGAAGUGUGCAUGUCUUCUAUGACUGAGCCUUAGAAAUUACACUCUUUCCUUUCUGCAAUAUCCUAUUAGUUACGCAGAUCAGUCUUAUUAAAUGUAGAAGAAGAUACACAGAAAACAAACACCAGGGAACAGAAAUCAUUAUCAGUAAGGCCUAUCUAAAAGAAAAUUAUAUUUAAAAUAAAAUUCUUCAUAUAGAUGGAGAAAUUUAAGAAGUUGUUUUGCUGCAGUAAUGAUCAUUACAAAAUAACUACAAAGUUGUGCUUCUAGUGUUGGUUGCAAUUCUGCUCCUAUCUCAUGCACCUUCUUCAUUCAAGGAUCCAGGCUUGAAUAGCAACCUGCAUCUGGAAUAUGCUAUUCUGGUGACAGAGGGAAAUAAGAGCAAGAACCAUAGCACACAAAGGCCCUCAAUUGUUUACUUAGCUAUGGUAUACAUCACUUCUGCCUACAUUUCAUUGACCAAAGCAAGUCAUAUGGCCAAACCAGAUAACAAUGGAGUAUGAAAGUACAUUUCUCUAAUAGACAGGCACUGCUAGUACCAUGGUAAUCAUAGGGAUAUAUAUCAUAUUUCAGGGAAGUAAAGAAUGAAUAAUUAGGAUCAAUAAUAAAAUCUACCAUGAAUAUCUAGUAUGCACAAAGCAGUCAUAUAAUAAUAAAUUCUAUUUAAAAAGGGCAGCUCAGCUGGGUGCACAUAGCCACAUUUAUAAUUCUGGCUUCAGUCUUGAAAAGAAGAAAACUGUCAAACCAUUUCUACUUUUCGAGGCUUUUAAUUGUUUUCUCAUUUUUAGUCAUGUUUCAGUGAAAUACUUUGGAUAAUAUCAUGAUUACCAAAUCAGUAACUUCAUUUUUUAUUCUACUUUAAAAUUACAUUUAUUCUACUUUAUAAAUGAAGUAUGAAUCUGAUCCAAUUGUAUUCAAAUGACAUUCUAAAAAAAGUAUAUAGAAAAACAAACUGAGAACAAUCUAAGAAUGUUUUAUAAACUAUCUGGAAAGAUUGUUAGGUAUCAAUUGUGGAAAAAGAUUAGAAUCAAAUCUUAAAAUUUUUUACUUAGUAUUUUUCUAAUAAUUCAACAUUACUAAAAAUUAAAUUGAUACUAUAAUAAUUAAUGACCUUUAGUCCUGACAUGUAGAAUGUGUCCAUUCUCUGAGAUAAUACAAUGACAAAAUUAUUAUGCUUAAUACUACACCCAGAAAUAUUAUUUUUAGCAUCCAAACUAGAUUUUUCAUAUUUAUAAUUGUGCAUGGAAACAAUCUGAUAAUCAUAUUUUAAGACCAUAUAUUCUGACAUGGAGUUGCAGAACUGUGAUGAUCAUAAGCCUAUAUGUCUGAAAAGAAUACAUUGUGACUAAGACUUACACUAAACACAAAACAACACUGAUUUCUAGUAUCUUUUGCCAGAUAUACAGCUCUACUGUCCUUGUUUAGGUUUGCUGAUUCAAAUUUCUGUAAGAGUUGGGGUGGUCUUAUGAGGGUAGGAGGAAUUCUAUGCUAACAUUGGAAUGAAGCACAAGAAAAAUUAAAAGUUUUACAACCAUAUGGAAUGCAGUGACUUAUCACUUGAUAAAACAGAAUUUAACUGUUCAAGCCCUCAGCUAUGUAGUUUGGUUCAGCUCUAAUUAAUAAUAUUAAUUCCAUUCAUGUUCUUGGGUUCUAGUUUUCACAGCUUUCAUAAAACUAAUUCUAACUUUUAUACAAUUGAAUGUCCACAUAAGCCAGGCUAGCUAAUAUAUAUUAGUUUGAAAAAUUGCUUUUAUGUGAUACUUCACCCAAAUACUUUUUUUCUAUCUAAUAUCUCUAUCAACCAGGUAAGAAAUUGUUUUCACCAUGCAAUCUGUCAAAAUUACCAAUUUUACAAAAACAUUGGCAUCAAUUUUUCUUUUUCUUUUUCUUUAUUUCUUUUUUUCUGAGAUGGAGUCUGGCUCUGUGCCCAGGCUGGAGUGCAGUGGCGCGAUCUCGGCUCACUGCAAGCUCCGCCUCACGGGUUCACGUCAUUCUCCCGCCUCGGCCUCCCGAGUAGCUGGGACUACAGGCGCCCACCACCAUGCCCGGCUAAUUUUUUGUGUUUUUAGUAGAGACGGGGUUUCACCAUUCACAGGAUGGUCUCGACCUCCUGACCUCGUGAUCCACCCACCUCGGCCUCCCAAAGUGCUGGGAUUACAGGCGUGAGCCACUGCGCCCGGCCGGCAUCAAUUUUUCAACAUGCAAAACACACAUACAUGUUCUAAGUAUAUAAAAAUACACACCACUGGACAUUGAAAUUUACAGAAAUUUCUUACACUGUAAUACUAAUUGUGGCUGAAGGCAUAAAUGCCAACACAUAACUUUUCCUCCAUUAACUCUAAAUUCUUCAAUCAUAUCCUGACAUUCUUCCUGUCCCUAACAUUUUAUUUUAAAGGCACAUGCAGUGAUUUUUUUCAUUUUAAUUCAUGUAUGUAAUACACAAAUUAUGUUUUUAUAAGUCAAAAUUUCCCAUUCACUUACAUCACAAUUUUAGACUUUACUUAGCAGUGGCAUCUCACACUUUUAAGUUUUGGUUUCUUUAACAACUAAAUUUUGUUAAGUAGAUUGGUCUGCAACUAAUGCUGACAUAUAAUUAGAGAGCCACUAUUUAAAGAAACCCUUUUGAAAGUAAAAAAAUCACUUGAAACACAAGAAGUCACCCCCUGUUUCAUCUCUUGCAAGUUUGAUUGUUUUUUUUGUUUGUUUGUUUUUUUUGAGACUGAGUCUCACUCUGUCGCCCAGGCUGGAGUGCAGUGGCUGUGAUCUCGGCUCACUGCAACCUCUGCCUCCCGG